GGUUAAGCGACUAAGCGUACACGGUGGAUGCCCUGGCAGUCAGAGGCGAUGAAGGACGUGCUAAUCUGCGAAAAGCGCCGGCGAGGUGAUAUGAACCCUUGACCCGGCGAUGUCCGAAUGGGGAAACCCAGUGUGUUCCGACACACUAUCGUUAACUGAAUACAUAGGUUAACGAGGCGAACCGGGGGAACUGAAACAUCUAAGUACCCCGAGGAAAAGAAAUCAACCGAGAUUCCCCCAGUAGCGGCGAGCGAACGGGGAGCAGCCCGGAGUCUGAAUCAGCUUGUGUGUUAGUGGAACGGUCUGGAAAGUCCGACGGUACAGGGUGAUAGUCCCGUACACGAAAAUGCACAGGUUGUGAACUCGAAGAGUAGGGCGGGACACGUGGUAUCCUGUCUGAAUAUGGGGGGACCAUCCUCCAAGGCUAAAUACUCCUGACUGACCGAUAGUGAACCAGUACCGUGAGGGAAAGGCGAAAAGAACCCCGGCGAGGGGAGUGAAAAAGAACCUGAAACCGUGUACGUACAAGCAGUGGGAGCACCUUCGGGUGUGACUGCGUACCUUUUGUAUAAUGGGUCAGCGACUUAUAUUCUGUAGCAAGGUUAACCGUAUAGGGGAGCCGAAGGGAAACCGAGUCUUAACUGGGCGUUAAGUUGCAGGGUAUAGACCCGAAACCCGGUGAUCUAGCCAUGGGCAGGUUGAAGGUUGGGUAACACUAACUGGAGGACCGAACCGACUAAUGUUGAAAAAUUAGCGGAUGACCUGUGGCUGGGGGUGAAAGGCCAAUCAAACCGGGAGAUAGCUGGUUCUCCCCGAAAGCUAUUUAGGUAGCGCCUCGUGAACUCAUCUUCGGGGGUAGAGCACUGUUUCGGCUAGGGGGCCAUCCCGGCUUACCAACCCGAUGCAAACUACGAAUACCGAAGAAUGUUAUCACGGGAGACACACGGCGGGUGCUAACGUCCGUCGUGAAGAGGGAAACAACCCAGACCGCCAGCUAAGGUCCCAAAGUCAUGGUUAAGUGGGAAACGAUGUGGGAAGGCACAGACAGCCAGGAUGUUGGCUUAGAAGCAGCCAUCAUUUAAAGAAAGCGUAAUAGCUCACUGGUCGAGUCGGCCUGCGCGGAAGAUGUAACGGGGCUAAACCAUGCACCGAAGCUGCGGCAGCGACACUAUGUGUUGUUGGGUAGGGGAGCGUUCUGUAAGCCGUUGAAGGUGUGCUGUGAGGCAUGCUGGAGGUAUCAGAAGUGCGAAUGCUGACAUAAGUAACGAUAAAGCGGGUG
rnacentral:rRNA from 1 species